CAAUGCCGCUACGUCACCUGCGUAACUCGGCACAAGAAUAGCAUAGGCGGCAGCGGGCGGCGCGUCGUGAGGGGAGAUGGCGGGACAGAGGCUCCCUCACGGCACCGCUGGGCCGAGCCCUCAGGCAGCCGGGAUGAGGAGCCCACGAUCCUUCAUGCAGUUCUUUAUCCUCGAAUACCUUCCUGCCAUAGCAGCCCUUCACAGAGUGCUCAUCUUUUCCUCUCAGACCGUGUUCAGCUCACCAGAGUUGCUUGAUUAAGGUAUAACUCCCCUUUUCCUUUGCUCAGGUGGUCUUUGGUUUUUGUCAGUAGCUUUUUCAUUUGAGCAGAUUUAAUCAUUUCCCCUUCAGUGCUUUUCUGGCUGAUGUUUGAUCAGUGUGUGUGUAUGAAAUCUCGCUGGUUUCACACUCCCUGGGGGAGAGGCCUGUGAGGCUCUCAUGGUUAC
ensembl:lncRNA